AACAAAUGGUAUAUGCAUAUGUUGGUAAAACGUGUUACUUCUCUCCCCUCUCACCCCCAGUGUUCUCCCUCUUUCAUGAAAACCUAAAUCCCAAAAUCCCCAAAUUUCUUCUCCAUUCAACGAUCUCUCCAUCUCACCGUCGUUGCUCUCAACCCAGUUCUAUCGUUGACCGCCGAUACCAUCUUCCUCUGCAUCUUUCGUUUGGGAUUUGACUUUGCUUCAUAGAUUUGUAUUAUGCAUUCUCAGUUCUAAGUUCUAUGCAAUUGGUUUUGCUAUUGGGUUUCGCCGUCGUUUGCACUUCAACUCUCCUACUCAACUUUCUCAAGGAACCCAUGUUGCAUAUUCCACAUAUGAAAAUUAUCAGCUGGCCAAUGCAUUAAACCUUGAGGACGCAAUUAAUGAUCUCCCACUAGUUGAAAAUGAUGAUAGCGAUGAUGAAAGGAGCUAUGGGACUACUCCUCGUACUUAUUUUCAAAAAUAUAUCAGAUUAAAGAGAAGCGGAACUUGGAUCAACUUGAGGUGUUAUCGAAGAAAUAGAAGAAGCUUAAUCAAAGACUAUAAGAGUCGAGGCGUCUUCACAAUCCAUUGCUGCAACUAGGGAUGUCUGGGCAAGACAAUGAUAAGGGUAAGGUUCAUGUUGUAGAGGACGACGACAACAUUGCACCAAUUUAAAUUGAGUUUGGGUGAAGCUGUUGCUGUACUGGUGUUUUAUCUGUGUUAUUGUAGUGUUGUUGGUGUUCUCUAGGCGAUUUUUGGUGCAUUUAGGUAGAAGCUUUGGAGCUGGUUUUUUUCCUGCUGUGUUUAGGAUCCUGGGAAUUAUUAAAUUUGAAAUAUGGGAUUUUUUUAUAUAUAUAUAUAUUACUUUCCUAGGAAAAGUUUCCUCGGAAACAAUUAUUAAAAUAAUAAUAAAGUUUCCUAGGUAAUUCCUCGGAAAACAUGUGUCAA